rnacentral:misc_RNA from 1 species
GAUGAAGAACGUAGCGAAAUGCGAUAAGUAAUGUGAAUUGCAGAAUUCAGUGAAUCAUCGAAUCUUUGAACGCACCUUGCGCCCUUUGGACUUCUGAAGGGCAUGCCUGUUUGAGUAUCAUGAACACCUCAACUCCUUAUGGUCUUCCAUGAUGAGCUUGGACUUUGGGGGUUUUGCUGGCCUACAGUCAGCUCCUCUAAAAUAAAUCAGCUUACCGGUGUUUGGUGGGUAUCAUGGGUGUGAUAACUAUCUACGCUCGUGGUUUUCCACCAGGUAACCUUCAGCAGUGGAGGUUCACUGGAGCUCAUAGAUGUCUCUCCUCAGCGAGGACAGCCCUUUGAAUGUUUGAUCUCAAAUCAGGUAGGACUAACCGCUGAACUUAAGCAUAUCAAUAAGCGGAGGA